ACAAAACCAAACCUCUGUAUACAUUUUUUCACAGAGCCCUUGUCUGAAGCCUAGUAAGCGCACAAGCCCUGAGGUCAUCUGUGAAGAGCCCUUCCCACCCCUGUCCACUCCCCCCCUUUUCCAGCCCUGCCAGGCGGCCCAGCCUUUUUACCCCGGCCCUCUGUCUCCGCUUUCAACUGAGCGAUUGUGCAACUCGCUGCUUGGCUCCGCGCACUCUGGAGCGACAAGCUUUCGGUUUGACAGCACUCUGAGACGCCUGCACCCCCACACCACCACCCACACUGGCUGCAGCGCCUGAUCGAAGCUGAAGGGUUUGCGAUAUGUGAACACCAUGCACAUGUGGAACAUGCACACCCCUGGAAUGCAAGGAAACCAUUCUUAGGGAGCACGUGUCUUUUGUUAGGGUCAGUGUUUGUUUUCGUUUUUUUAAAGACAAAAGAGGCUUCCCUUAUUCUGCUGGGCACAAAUCAUGAUUGAAAACAUCAUGCCGGAAUUUGGAGGCAUGCUUAAAUCCAUUUGAGAAGACCUGGAUUUCUUUUACUCCACUGAAAAUACAGCACAAUCAAAAUCGACGAAAACAAGAAGUUGUCGGUGCACAAGAGCAACUCCGAUCGGACUACUGAGCCAUGCAGAAGGGCGUCCUUCACCAUCAGUGUCAUCGGUGCUGACAACCUCCUGCUCACUAAGAGGACAGAACGUCCCCAGCAUGCAAACAAAAGGCAGCUCUUUUUGAGCCACCAGCAAAAUCCUCUGUGUUGCAACAGGCCCCCGAGUCGCAAAACAUUCUCAAGUUACUCCUUGACAAACGGCUCCCGUGUGAGGCUGCAAAACCAGGAGUCGUGUUUGGUAAAAGGCCUUGCAUUCUGCCACCCGAUACUGCAUUCGUGGUUAUAUACGGAAUCCAAACUUAUAUCUUCAUGCAAUAUGAUACAGGCUCAAAAAGAGAUAAAAGAGGAAUAAAAAUAUAAAUUUGUAAAUUAAACACUUGGAAAAGAACAAGAAAAAACAGAAACAGAAUGUUUGGACACUGGGACAUUACACUGAAAGAUCUCAAGCCUCCAUACUAGAACAAGUCUACAAAGCAUAUCUUGCCUACCAGGGCUUGGUUAUUGUAAGCCAGGUUACUCCAGCAUUUCCAGCUGUGUAAAUAAGUGACAAAAUCUUUAUUUAAUCUAAAAAGGGUUUUUGUAAGCACUGUAAUUGCACUAGAAAGAAGCAUGCAUCAAUUAAUAAUUAAUUGAAUUGCUAUUGCAAUAUAUUGCACAUACAGUCCAUCUGUUCCAGAUAAACCUUUAUUGCUCCUUUAUUCUAGUGCUUGACUUCCAGCAUGGGGCUGAUGACACAAGACAAGCCCCAUCUAAACACAGGCACAACACAAUUCUAACCAAUUUAACAUCCAAUGAGAGCAGGUACAAUCCAGACAAUUUAGGAUCGAGUUUAGGCCUGUAUGAACUUAAAACAGUCAAGCCUCUACCAAUCAUUAAACAUUUGUAAAGUUAUUUUGUGUCCUAAUCCUCCCAAGUUGAAACAGUUCGUGGCUAAAUCGUCUCUGUUCCCCCUCCGUCAGUCCGGUGGCAGGCAGGGGAAUGGACAAGUGAUGUACUGCCAUCACUGUUAGCCAGGUGAGAUCUAGGGCACAUCAGCCACUCAGAGUCAAUCUUUUGGCAGUGCUUCGCCUCCAGCUCCACCACCUGGGAAGUCCCAGUCACAGUGAGCCAGCAAAACAGCCCCGAUUUCAACCAGUCAUGCCAGGACUGUAGCACUAACCUGCACCUCUGUCUGCUUUCAGUUUCUUGCUUGACUUUCACAGAAAGACACUUGGUGGCAUUAAGGCUGAAAUCUGCAGGUGAGCAGCAUUUUGCAUUUUUUAUUAAAUCUGCACCAUGGUCCAUCUCAGCCGUGUUCAUUUUUCUAAGUUACGUAAACUGUUUUGCAAAGAAGAAAAAAAAAACAGGUUCAUCUGCAGGCUGUACUAUUAAGCCAAUACUGAUAAACCUACAGUUCCAACAAGACGCCAGCUAUAAUACGUCAGAUGCAAUCCGAUAUGCAUUGUGCUGUAGCCUCCAAGCUUAGCACAUGCUUCAUUAGAUAUGAUCCACGAUUUCAGCACACAAGGCAGAACAUUGUUUACGCAGUUCCAAGUGUGUUAUUUCUUUGUGAACCUGAGUUAUUGUUGGGGACCAAAUCGUGUUGUUUUUUUUUUAGUCUGUCUGGUUUACACGUCUUUUGCACGUCAUUGUGACCGAAAACCGGCCCAUGACAAGCAGACACAAGAACAGCCAUGCCUUGAUGUUGAAGUCAGAUAACGAGAAGAAUUUGUUUUUGGAAAGACAAAGCCGCACUGCAGCUACAUUAUGCACAUCUAAUCAGAAUGCUACCACAACAAAUAGGAAAAUGCAGCCAACUGUGCUGCCAAAUGACUGAACAUGCAAGUUCUUUUAAUAACCUUUUCCACUGUGGCUGCAGACUCGUACCCGUCAAAUGUAAUUCUUAAAGGAACGUGCGCAGCAUUGCCCAAAUUCAACUCCAAAACAGAAGACAUAAGGGCCUUCUGAGAAUGUGAUGCACGUACAUUACCCCUGAGCAGUGGAUUAUUCAAAGGGGUUUUAAGAAUUUUAAAUGUAGUCUAUUUUGGGUAUCCAGAAUAGAUGUUUUUUUCUGGGUACAAUCAGAGAAAAGCAGACAUUCCCAUUGGAAGGCUUUUACAGGAAGCUGCGAGAGCAAUGCUCCGAAAAAGUAAACAAUUUGCUAGCUAGAAGCCUCCCUUUCAACAAUGUUUAUUGAUGCUGGGAGAGGAAGAAACAGAAAGCCAAGGCCAUUUCACAUGACACCCAGCCUUGUCACUCAGGCCUCUGUGUGCAACUGAGCUGAGGCUUGGUCACAUUUUUCUGUCAAAACAAUAAACUACUGGUUCCCCCCCCAGUAUUUUUUUGGAAGACUUGCAACUCUCAGUAUGGUUACUGGUUUCUCAGAUCAACACCCCUCAUCAUGCAUUCUGCAGCCUUUCUGUUCCUUCUUGCAUGUUUCCGUGAGAGCAGUUUAACUAGUAACCAAUCCCCAACGAAUCACUAGCUCAUUAGAGACAAGGAGAAGCUAAAACGGUUUAACAAGACUAUAAAGCCCUCAGCGGUCAAGCACACAUGUUUGCUGGUUCCCAUGACAUGAACCAGAAUUUCUAAAUUCAUGUUCCAAUGCAAUUUUUGCAAAAAUAUCUAUAUCUCUUUCAAGAGUUUCACCUUAUUUAAUGUUUCCCCCUUAUUAUCUGGAAGUAAAUGCAAUCAGAUUCCUUUGCAUUGUAAAAUCAUUAAAUUAAUGUAGUUUACAUAACCGACACCAAACUACUACUACUGCUGCGGCUGCUAUUGUUUUUUGUGCUGCAGGACAAAAAGGCUUUUUUGAAUGAAAGGCGCACGUCUCGCCGUCUUCUACGCGAUUCAGAAUUUUAUUAUAAUACAGCUAAAUACUACCCUUUACUAGAUCCCUUUUCAAAGCAUUGCGCUCCCUUGAUAAAAUUCGUCAAAACGAAAAGAAUUUGCACGAUCUUGUCUGUAUAAAUAAUGAAAAUGAACGUAUUACAACUGGUCAAGUGUUUUCAAAGAAUGUUACAACGCGUUGGCUGAACUGACAGGGCUUUUGCACCUCCAAAAUUACGUUUAUUUCUACACCGUCGUACAGUAGGUAAGCACAUACCUGAAUUUCUGGGGGGCGGGAGAGGUUAACUGUAUGUCUUUGGAAUAUUGACGAAACCAACCAUAACACAUCCCAACCAGCAAACAACGGCAUGCAACUUCAAGCAUAAAAGAUUUUGUCGGGGUUUUUUUUCCCCAACAAACCGAAAGAACUAAACGUUGACUCUUACUGCGGCUCUUUGCCCGGUACCCCAGGUCACGAAUGCACGGAGCAAGACUGUCAGCCGCACAGUGAACCAGCAAGCACGAAACAAUUUUUCCAGUAUUAGGUGAAACGACUGGAAAGCUGUAACCCGUUGUCUUAGAAACUGAUCGCGCACAGACAGAGCUGCCCAUUUAUUUGCUGCCGUGACCCAACUCUACCCUGGACGGAGCCGGGCACAGCAGCUAGGAGGGGGGUUAGGGGGGACUCGAUACCCAACAAUGACCCAUUCAUUCAGCUCGCCUUUCGCCGCGCAACAGGUGCACCAACAGGACUGCGUGCGUGGCGCGGCUUUCCCUGCUGGGAUCGCUGAAGAGGACCUUGCAGCAGGCGAACACAUGCCCACUAUAUUGACCCUCAUAUAGCUGUCAACAAAAAUGUUAUUGAUAAGCGUUUAUUAUUAACUACGUGGGACCUGGGUACAAUGUGUCGAAAGCAUAUUUACCUUUCCAGAAAGCACGUACUGUGUGUGACUGCGUGCACACCCCGCACUCUUCAUUGGGUUGGUCAUUGGUUAGAAUGCAUUUCCAGCUCGUCGCUUUACACAAGCAUACCGUACACGCAGAGAUACCCGACAUCACACAGCCCACCUGAGCUUGCUGUGCAUCACGCCGAAUUUGGAGCACUCCCUCCCUCGCGCUGGGGCUGCGUGAUGUCAGAGCUCACAGGAACUGCCUUAUAAAGCUCGCCAGGCAGCAGGCUGGCCGAUUGGAGCCCUGUAGGGAGCUGGCCGUAGAUCUGCACCUGCUGGGAGCAUACCACUCAGACUGCACGGCCUAGAUUUAAAGCAGUUUGUACCCCAUCUUUCAAGAAAAUGCAUGCAAAUAAAGGUGUUUUAAAUGAACAACAUUUUUAUGCAAUAAUCACAAUGUCUAGAUGCAAAAAAAAAAACAGUGCAAUUAUAAGAGAAUGUUUACAACAAAUAAAAACAAAGAGCUGCAAAAACUAUAUCAAAUUGGACGGUCCAGAGCUUGGAAAUAGCCAUAAAUAGGUGUAUGGCAAAUAGAACAACAACAGUCCGAGCUCGGAACCCACCUUUAUUCAUUAGUCUAUCACUAACCCUGACAUUUAGGAGGAAGCCAAUGAAAAAAGGUGGGUUUUUAAUUUGGACUCCAACAUAGAAAGGGUAGGAACACAAGUGGGAAGAGAAUUCCGGAGAGUAGGAGCAACAGAGAAAAAAGGAAUACAGUGCACUCUACAUACAUCAAAACUUUGGAGAACUGACGACGGUGCUACAUACAGUAUUUGAUCGCUCUACAAUAUAUUCUCACAGUGAUAACCCUUGAGAAUUUGAUGUGGUUUGCCUCAUCUGUGGAUUCCUCUGGUAUUUCACAAGCCCUUCAAGUGAAAUAGAAACUACAGAUUAGCCGGUUACGCACUGUGAGGAUCUGUCCUUCGUGGUGCUGUAGCUUUCCUGCACAUGUCACACCUGUGGGAAAGGAACGGUGGAGAGCAAGGGGGGAAAUCACCAGUCCCAGAUCUGAUACAGCAGUGCCAGCAAUUGUUCGCACAGAGCUCAGACAAGAGGGAAUUUCCCUUUCAGAGACUGGAUCACAUCACAAGGAAAUUCUGCUGAUUUCUCUUCAGCAAAUUACUACGGAAUUCAGGCGGGGUUUGAGCAUAACAAAAGAAAAACUUACUCGUCACCCUCUGUAAUCAAUUAACUAGCUUCCCGUUUAUCAGAAUUAUGACAUUUUACUAUUAUGCAUUAGUCAGUACUGACACUGUAUGCCUGCAUUUCGGUAUCAAAGACUUCCUGUGAAAUACCACCUCCAGUACCAAAACAUUCCUUUUACCAGCAGCCUGAAACAAUUAUAAAUAUGACCUAAACCUGGGCUUUCCAAUUCUAGUCCCUUUGACCUGUGGGCUGGUUUUGCCCACAGAUUUAACUCUUACACUAUCAGCUUUCCACCCAUAAACAGGAAUGCCUUGGUUAAGUUAACUGAAAGAUUGAACUGGCCUGUAGAACUGGCCUGAAUAUGUAAUUACUUUUAUGAACAGUAAUAUCAAAAUAAAUUAUUGAAAUUUAAAGCCAGUGGAAACUUGGGGGUGUCGCUGCAGAUUGUGAUCAUUUUAAAAUGGGGUUCCCCAGAGAGAAGUAUUGUUGGGAAAUAUUGUUACAGGGGGCUGUUAUUGUUAAACAAUACAUUAUAGAGGCUUACUUCAAAUGUAGCGUAAACACUGUAAGUAUAACUUCUGUUUUACUAUAUGUAAAUAGUUGUAUGUCAACAUGUACAGAGCGCAUUGGAAAUGUUUGACUAAUGAACUGUA